rnacentral:tRNA from 1 species
GAUCCAGUGGUUCAGUGGAAAGAGCCUGGGUUUAGGACCCAGAGGUCAUGGGUUCUAAUCCCGACUCCACCA